UGCAAGUCGAGCGAAGUAUAUUUAAGUGAAGUUUUCGGACGGAACUUAAAUAUAUCUUAGCGGCGGACGGGUGAGUAACGCGUGAGCAACCUGCCUUUCACAAAGGGAUAGCCUCGGGAAACUGGGAUUAAUACCAUAUGAUACUUAACUUUCGCAUGAAAGAUAAGUUAAAGCGAAAAAGCGGUGAAAGAUGGGCUCGCGUCCUAUUAGCUAGUUGGUGAGGUAACGGCUCACCAAGGCGACGAUAGGUAGCCGGCCUGAGAGGGUGAACGGCCACACUGGAACUGAGACACGGUCCAGACUCCUACGGGAGGCAGCAGUGGGGGAUAUUGCACAAUGGAGGAAACUCUGAUGCAGCGACGCCGCGUGAGUGAAGAAGGCCUUCGGGUCGUAAAGCUCUGUCCUAGGGGAAGAUAAUGACGGUACCCUAGGAGGAAGCCCCGGCUAACUACGUGCCAGCAGCCGCGGUAAUACGUAGGGGGCGAGCGUUGUCCGGAAUUACUGGGCGUAAAGAGUUCGUAGGCGGUCUGAUAAGUCAGAUGUGAAAGGCGUAGGCUUAACCUAUGUAAGCAUAUGAAACUGUCAGACUUGAGGUAAGGAGAGGAAAGUGGAAUUCCUAGUGUAGCGGUGAAAUGCGUAGAUAUUAGGAGGAAUACCAGUGGCGAAGGCGACUUUCUGGACUUAAACUGACGCUGAGGAACGAAAGCGUGGGGAGCAAACAGGAUUAGAUACCCUGGUAGUCCACGCCGUAAACGAUGAGUGCUAGGUGUCGGGUAGAAAUAUUCGGUGCCGCAGCUAACGCAAUAAGCACUCCGCCUGGGGAGUACGUACGCAAGUAUGAAACUCAAAGGAAUUGACGGGGACCCGCACAAGCAGCGGAGCAUGUGGUUUAAUUCGAAGCAACGCGAAGAACCUUACCAGGGCUUGACAUGCCCCUGACAUCACUAGAGAUAGUGAGUUAUCCCUUCGGGGAUACAGGGGACACAGGUGGUGCAUGGUUGUCGUCAGCUCGUGUCGUGAGAUGUUGGGUUAAGUCCCGCAACGAGCGCAACCCUUGUAUUUAGUUGCCAGCAUUAAGUUGGGCACUCUAGAUAGACUGCCGUGGACAACACGGAGGAAGGUGGGGAUGACGUCAAAUCAUCAUGCCCUUUAUGUCCUGGGCUACACACGUGCUACAAUGGUCGGUACAACGAGCAGCAAGCUAGCGAUAGCAAGCGAAUCUCUAAAAGCCGAUCCCAGUUCGGAUUGUAGGCUGCAACUCGCCUACAUGAAGUCGGAGUUGCUAGUAAUCGCGAAUCAGCAUGUCGCGGUGAAUGCGUUCCCGGGUCUUGUACACACCGCCCGUCACGACCAUGGGAGUUGUCAAUACCCGAAGCCAGUGAGCUAACC
rnacentral:rRNA from 1 species